rnacentral:lncRNA from 1 species
GUUAUUGCACCUGAAUAUUUGAUUAUGAAUCUAAGUUAUGGGAAAUAGGUGGAGUAAGAGGAAAUGAGGCGUUGUUCGAUGGGGCCUUGCCACGGUUGCCUUGAGUUUUCGCAUCGAAGCACCACUUUGUAUGGCUAGCCUUCCAUGGCUACAUCGAGGGUCCCAAUCUGCAGGCAAGCUCUUCUUUUCAUCUGCAGGUUAUGAGUCAUCUCCACCUCAAUGAGAUUUAGUUUCCACAUUAACGACUAUAGGUUUCUUAAUGUUUUGGAGUGGUCUACUUUCAUUGUCUCCGGUUCAGUUGUGUAUUUCUUUGCGCCCAUGUUCACUUCAGUAUUCCCUUCCAAUUCUCACACUAUGGUUGUGGCUUCUUUAUUUAUGUUGGACUGUUCUGUGAAUUGCCACCAUGAAACUUGUUGAAAAUAGUGCUGUCGGGUGAUAAUCAUUCUUGGCAGUGAUUCUUGUUGUGGUUGGGAUAUUGAUGCAGAUAUACCACGAAGGGAAGAUCUGCCUCACUGUGCACUUCAGGCGCGCGCAC